ACCCCUUUAGUCGCGGUUCGAUUAUUUUGGGGGCUAAUGGGGGCGUAUGGAAGCCUCUUUUUCUACUAGUGGUAGGACCCACUCACCGCUCAAACCACUCCUACCUUAUCUCUUCAGAACCAGUUAUUCCUCAUCCUUUUUCUUGGUAGACAGCCAUGGGCGACAUCCAUCCUGCUCUCGCUACCCAACCCGUGCGGCACGGCCAUGGGCGCCGUGGCAGGGAAGACUAGGGUGCAUGGGGCUGCUCGGCGCUGCUCCACGGGAGGUGCCGGGCGCUGCUGUAGAGUAGACGGAGGAAGGGGGAGAGGUGAAUCGGGAAAGGUACAACCAUGGCGGCGGGGGGAACUGCGAACGGCGGCGCUCGGCGCUACAGCCGCAACGACAAAAGCUACAUCCGGUGGCGCGUGGAGCUGCAACCAUGGUGGCGACCGGGAGCUACGACGCCGACGAUGCUGGAACUGGCCAGUUUUUUUGCUGGAACGGGCGACAGGAGGUGCUACGACCGUGGCAGCAAAAUGUUGGAACCAACAGCCAUGGCCUCCAGCAGAUGAGGAACCGGCUUUUUAAAAAGCUUCAACCAUGUACUGGGAAGCUGCAACCGCAUGCACGAGAGCUGCAAGCCGUCUACACCGGAGCUACAACCAGAGGCGCCGGUCACCGGCGAGGCUGCAAGCACGAGCACUCGGAGUUGUAGCCGACAGCGAUGUAUGCUGGACUGGAGAUGAUGUGUGCUUCAACGACGGGAGAUUGAAACCUGCUGCGAGGUCCGGCGAGCGGCAUCAAUGGAGGGGGCGUUGCUGGCCAUGAAGCGUGGCGGCAGUGAUUUUUUUUGCGACCUGCGCGACGAGGUGAUGCGAACCCGGGAUGCCGAAGGUCUGCGGCGGCGAUGAUGGUGACUAGCGGUGCUGGAGCCGCGGGCGCGUGCCCGGUGGCACGUCGGUUGGUGCGUGUGGGCUGCACUUUGUUCACGAUCCACUUUUUCCGGGUAGGGAUAAUCAGUGCGUGGAGACGUUGACGUUGACUUUGUGCUAUGAUUAUCUGACGGC